GAAAGGUGGAAGAUUAUAUAAGUAUGAUUUGCUUUUAGGUUUUUUGUUUUUUUUAAACCUCCUCCCCUCCCUUCCCCUUCUCCUUCCACUUUUCUCUAUCACCACCCUCCUUGGAGUUAAAGAGGAGAGCCAAGGAAAGGACAGCCACAGGCAGACAAAGGGGGCCCGGACUGCUGCCCUAUGGUCUCAGCAAUAAAAGAAAAAUUGGCCCAAGGUCAUGCUUUGGGUGAAGACAAGGUAGUGGCUCGGCGUCUUGGUUAGAAACCAGGACUGGAAGAGUCGCCCAGAGAAGUGGGCCCCAGGGCAAACCGGCUGUGGGUGGGGGGAGCCAGCUCCAGCCUGACUACGAAUCCCAUUCCAACAGCACUCCCUUCCCACUGGGGAGGCGGCCUUCCGUCCCCGGCCCCUGCCGGGAGGUGGAGGCUGACCCCAUGUGAAAGGCUCAGCGAUCCAGAGUCGGGCGACACGCAGGUUCUGGCGGAAAGUUGGCAGCCACCGCCCUCUCUCCCGGCUCCCUCCCCGACACCCCCCCGCCCCCCGCGCCUCUCCGGGCGCUACGGCGGGGGUGGGGGUGGGGGGAACUGGCCUAGUGUUCUGGAACAGCUGCAGCCGGCACUGGGCCCGCCUGGAAUGCGGGGACAAGCUGCGCACCAGGACUUUUAUGGAAACUUGCUGGUGGAGACGGCGGCGGCGGCGGCGGCGGCCAGAGGGCUCCCAGCGGCCGGAGCGGCAGCGGCAGCGGCCGGAGCGCCCAGACCCCCGCCCACACCCAGGCGCAGGACGCGCACAGCCUCUCCGCGCGCAACGAGGACACUCGCUUGUCGCCGGCUCCUGGCGGACCUUGUACAGCUUAAAGAACUGCCAUAAGAAAACUCAAAAUACACGAAUUUUUUCUUGGGUUGCCGGAUCUCUGGGAAGCCGUGUGUGCAAGCCCCGGGUGCAGUAUCUGCCAUCCAACACUGGAGUAUGAUGCAGCAGUCCCCUGAUGUCCGUAUGAGGCAAGUCUGAAGCCGUGAUAGGAUGGAGAGUCUGGACCCGGCAUCAGGGACCUGCACUUGAAAUGUUGUAGAUAUAUUUGGGUCAGCAAUCCUUCUCUUAAAUAAUGUGAUCAUGGCAAUGAGAAGAGGUUAACAUUCAUUGACACUAAUUGCUCAUGUCAAUUGGAGCUGGAAGAGACCAUGUAUACUAACUAAAACAUUUUAACUGGUGGGAUUUCAGAAAGCGUAGGGUAGGUAUUUCUGGGGAAGAAAUCUUUCGUAGGAACUCUUAAAAUACUCCUCAUCUCUCUCCACCCU
rnacentral:lncRNA from 1 species